rnacentral:rRNA from 1 species
UACGUAGGGACCGAGCGUUGUCCGGAAUCAUUGGGCGUAAAGAGCGUGUAGGCGGCCAGGUAGGUCUGCUGUGAAAACUCGAGGCUCAACCUCGAGACGUCGGCGGAAACCAUCUGGCUAGAGUCCGGAAGAGGAGAGUGGAAUUCCUGGUGUAGCGGUGAAAUGCGCAGAUAUCAGGAGGAACACCGGUGGCGAAGGCGGGUCUCUGGGCAAUAACUGACGCUGAGGAGCGAAAGCGUGGGGAGCGAACAGG